rnacentral:rRNA from 1 species
UUAGGAGAAACUGGAAUUCAAUGUGUAGUGGUGGAAUACGUAGAUAUAUUGAGGAACACCAAAGGCGAAAGCAAGUUUCUAGGAUAUAAUUGACGCUGAGGCUUGAAAGCGUGGGGAGCAAAUGGGAUUAGAUACCCCAGUAGUCCACGCCGUAAACGAUGGGUAUUUGGUAUUUGGGCUGGACCUGAGUGCCGGAGCUAACGCGUUAAAUGCCCCGCCUGGGUAGUAUAUAUGCAAAUAUGAAACUCAAAGAAAUUGACGGGGAUCUGAACAAGUGGUGGAGCAUGUUGCUUAAUUCGAUAAUACACGAAAAACCUUACCAAGGCUUGUAAUCUUCUGCAAAAGUGUAGAAAUACAGUGGAGUAUAUCAGAAUGACAGGUGGUGCAUGGCUGUCGUCAGCUCGUGUCUUGAGAUGUUUG